rnacentral:lncRNA from 1 species
AUGGCAAGAAGGGGACCAGAGAAGGGGGAACUCGGGACAGAGACACUUGAAGAGAACGUUGCCGUAGUCCGGCCGCUGAGCACCCUGGGAAGGGUAGUUCGGUGUAAUCUGGCAUCUGGACUACAAUUCCCAAGAUGCCCCGGGAGCGAGCGCACUUUCGGACGCCGUCUCCGGGACCUGGAGGUGAUAAUGAGGUGGUGCAGAAGUGAAGCUUCGGGUAUUUAAACACAUCCGGUAAGUCACCAGAGACUACUUUUCCAGCUGCUCGUCCCACUCACUGGAGCCAUUUUAUCUAUGGCCUGGCCUCAUGGACCGAGGCACUCUGGGAAUUGUGGUUUCACAUGAGUCCGGACUGACACCUGAAGGACGCGGCUUAACUGCCUCGCCCCAGUUGGGAUUGGGAGUUCCCCGACGUCACGGGAGCUGAGGUACUGAAGGCUUGGGGGCUGGGGAGAAGUGGGUAUGAUGCCAGCAGGGAGCCAAGCGGAAUCUCAGUGCUGAAGGAAACAAAGCAGGUGUCUUCCGGCCACCGACCACGAUAAAAACUCCAGAGAAGCCCGAGAAUCGAAGAAGGAACUGCGGGACACCCAGUACACGGAGCAUCUAAGGACCAGGGUACAGUCCAUCCUUGGGCUCCACCCCAAUCCAUGGCUUUCCACCGACCCAGACUUGCCUGGUCCUCACCAGACAAAUUCAGGCGGGAACUUUAGACACACCUACUGCUUUCUCUUCCAGAAUCUUAAAACUAGAAGAUGCUGGGUUUAAGCAUCGCUUGGGUGAGGAUAGAGUACAAGGCUGUGUGCUUGGCACCUGUCAAAUACUGAAGCUUUGGAAAGGAAUUGAGAUCUCUGCUCCUAGAUUGCCUCACAGAGGAUAUUGAUGCGGUGCCAAAUCCUUGCCUUCCCUGCGCCCUCCCCCCAAGAAAUACAUGUUUUUUCUCUUCUUUGACAUAGGUUAUUUUUCUCCUCCGCCAGCUUUCCACACUUCUUGAUUAUGCAAACGCCCUCUUACAGUUCAUCCCAGAAUUUCUACUUCAAGCACUUGAGGAAGAUCUAGAAGGGUGGCCCCCAGCAAGUAAAAAGAUGGCUCUUGACUAAUCUGAAUGUUGAGCUGGGCUGAGCUGGCGGUGGCUGCUGCGGUUUCUUGUUUCAUGUGGUGCCAUAGUCAUCUAACUCCCCAGAGAGAGAUAGCAUCUUUCCUUCCAGAGAAGCCAGCCUUGCCACCUCGGUUCACACAAUCCUGCAGCCACCUUGAGGGUGAGACUCAGCACCUGCUGAGCAUCCCUUUAACUCAACCCACGGGAUGUGCUCUCCUCACCUUCCUUAAAAGGCUUGAUUUCUGUCUAAAGAAGCUUGAUGUGUAUCUUAAAAUAGAUGGGAAGUCUUAUUGGGCUGAUAGACCCUCAUCUUUCUCAGCACCUGUUCAUUUUGAGGGACUUUUAAAGAAUGUAUUAGUUUCUCUAUCCAUCCAGCCCUGUUGCCUUAUCAGGUUUUACUUUUCUCCACUUUUCUGGUACAGACCAGGUUUGCCCAAAUCUCAAACCACACUUCAGACAAAGUUUUCCAGCGGGAGCAGCUUGCUCCCAUUGAAUAAUAUGUAUUUACUAGGUAAUCAACCUGAAUGAAAAGCCACUGUUUAACAG